rnacentral:rRNA from 1 species
UACGUAGGGUGCAAGCGUUGUCCGGAAUUAUUGGGCGUAAAGAGCUCGUAGGCGGUUUGUCACGUCGGAUGUGAAACCCUGAGGCUCAACCUCAGGCCUGCAUUCGAUACGGGCAGACUAGAAUUCGGCAGGGGAGACUGGAAUUCCUGGUGUAGCGGUGAAAUGCGUAGAUAUCUGGAGGAACACCGGUGGCGAAGGCGGCAUCCUGGACCGACACUGACGCUGAGGAGCGAAAGCCAGGGGAGCAAACGGG